AUGGCCAUGCUAGUGCCUGCCAGGCAGGGUGAUGUCAGAGUUGGAGACAGCAUGUGGAAAGCCCAUGAGGCACAAAACCUCCUCCAGCUCGCUCAGGAUGGGGGCCUACGUCUUCAUCGGCGUGGGGGCAGUCACCAUGCUCAUGGGCUUCCUGGGCUGCAUUGGCGCCGUCAACGAGGUCCGCUGCCUGCUGGGGCUGUACUUUGCUUUCCUGCUCCUGAUCCUCAUUGCCCAGGUGACGGCCGGGGCCCUCUUCUACUUCAACAUGGGCAAGCUGAAGCAGGAGAUGGGCGGCAUCGUGACUGAGCUCAUUCGAGACUACAACAGCAGUCGCGAGGACAGCCUGCAGGAUGCCUGGGACUACGUGCAGGCUCAGGUGAAGUGCUGCGGCUGGGUCAGCUUCUACAACUGGACGGACAACGCUGAGCUCAUGAAUCGCCCUGAGGUCACCUACCCCUGUUCCUGCAAAGACAAGGGGGAAGAGGACAACAGCCUUUCCGUAAGGAAGGGCUUCUGCGAGGCCCCCGGCAACAGGACCCAGAGUGGCAACCACCCUGAGGACUGGCCUGUGUACCAGCAGGGCUGCAUGGAGAAGGUGCAGGCGUGGCUGCAGGAGAACCUGGGCAUCAUCCUCGGCGUGGGCGUGGGUGUGGCGGUCAUUGAGCUCCUGGGGAUGCUCCUGUCCAUCUGCUUGUGCCGGCACGUCCAUUCCGAAGACUACAGCAAGGUCCCCAAGUACUGAGCCAGCUGCUAUCCCCAUCUCCCUGCCUGGCCCCUGACCUCAGGGCUCCCAGGGGUCUCCCUGGCUCCCUCCUCCAGGCCUGCCUCCCACUUCACUGCGAAGACCCUCUUGCCCACCCUGACUGAAAGUAGGGGGCUUUCUGGGGCCUA
rnacentral:sRNA from 1 species